rnacentral:rRNA from 1 species
CGUAGGGUGCGAGCGUUAAUCGGAAUUACUGGGCGUAAAGCGUGCGCAGGCGGUUUAGUAAGACAGGCGUGAAAUCCCCGGGCUCAACCUGGGAACUGCGCUUGUGACUGCUAAGCUAGAGUACGGCAGAGGGGGUGGAAGUUCCACGUGUAGCAGUGAAAUGCGUAGAGAUGUGGAGGAACACCAAUGGCGAAGGCAGCCCCCUGGGUCGAUACUGACGCUCAUGCACGAAAGCGUGGGUAGCAAACAGGAUUAGAUACCCUGGUAGUCCACGCCCUAAACGAUGUCAACUAGGUGUUGGGAGGGUAAAACCUUUUAGUACCGGAGCUAACGCGUGAAGUUGACCGCCUGGGGAGUGGCGGCCGCAAGGUUA